rnacentral:rRNA from 1 species
GACGAACGCUGGCGGCGUGCUUAACACAUGCAAGUCGAGCGGUAAGGCCCUUUCGGGGGUACACGAGCGGCGAACGGGUGAGUAACACGUGGGUGACCUGCCCUCAGCUCUGGGAUAAGCCUGGGAAACCGGGUCUAAUACCGGAUAUGACUCCAUGACGCAUGUUGUGGGGUGGAAAGCCUUGUGCGGCUGAGGAUGGGCCCGCGGCCUAUCAGCUUGUUGGUGGGGUGAUGGCCUACCAAGGCGACGACGGGUAGCCGGCCUGAGAGGGCGACCGGCCACACUGGGACUGAGACACGGCCCAGACUCCUACGGGAGGCAGCAGGUGGGGAAUCUUGCGCAAUGGGCGAAAGCCUGACGCAGCGACGCCGCGUGAGGGAUGACGGCC